rnacentral:rRNA from 1 species
UGCCCUAGUAACGGCGAGUGAAGCGGCAACAGCUCAAAUUUGAAAUCUGGCGCAAGCCCGAGUUGUAAUUUGUAGAGGAUGCUUCUGGGUAGCGACCGAUCUAAGUUCCUUGGAACAGGACGUCAUAGAGGGUGAGAAUCCCGUAUGUGACCGGCCCGCACCCUUUACGUAGCUCCUUCGACGAGUCGAGUUGUUUGGGAAUGCAGCUCUAAAUGGGAGGUAAAUUUCUUCUAAAGCUAAAUACCGGCCAGAGACCGAUAGCGCACAAGUAGAGUGAUCGAAAGAUGAAAAGUACUUUGGAAAGAGAGUUAAAAAGCACGUGAAAUUGUUGAAAGGGAAGCGCCUGCAACCAGACUUCGCGGCAGUGUUCCGCCGGUCUUCUGACCGGUUCAUUCUCUGUCGCGAGGCCAUCAUCGUCUGGGCCCGCCGGAUAAGACCUUAGGAAUGUAGCUCACCUUCGGGGGAGUGUUAUAGCCUAGGGUGAUGCGGCGAGGCUCGGGCGAGGUCCGCGCUUCGGCAAGGAUGAUGGUGUAAUGCUUUGUCGGCGGCCCGUCUUGAAACACGGACCAGGGAGUCUAACAUCUAUUCGAGUGUACGGGGUGUCAAACCCCCUACACGUAAUGAAAGUGAAACGGAGGUGGGGAACCGAAGGGGUGCACCAUUCGAACGAAUCUGAUGUUCCUCGGAUGGGAUUUGAAGCAAAAGCAUAGCUUUUGGGGACCGGAAAGAAGGUGGAACUUAUGCCCUAAAUAGGGGUGCAAACCCGAGGAAAAAUCCUUGGGGCAAGGCCUCCGCAAACG